rnacentral:rRNA from 1 species
CAACCGGGGGUUGCCCUAGUACGGCGAGUGAAGCGGCACAGCUCAAAUUUGAAAUCUGGCUCUUUUAGAGUCCGAGUUGUAAUUUGCAGAGGGCGCUUUGGCUUUGGCAGCGGUCCAAGUUCCUUGGAACAGGACGUCACCGAGGGUGAGAAUCCCGUACGGGGUCGCUGGCUAUUGCCGUGUAAAGCCCCUUCGACGAGUCGAGUUGUUUGGGAAUAA